ACGGAAGGCAGCAGUGGGGAAUAUUGCACAAUGGGCGAAAGCCUGAUGCAGCGACGCCGCGUGAGUGAAGAAGUAUCUCGGUAUGUAAAGCUCUAUCAGCAGGGAAGAAAAUGACGGUACCUGACUAAGAAGCCCCGGCUAACUACGUGCCAGCAGCCGCGGUAAUACGUAGGGGGCAAGCGUUAUCCGGAUUUACUGGGUGUAAAGGGAGCGUAGACGGUUUGGCAAGUCUGAAGUGAAAUGCGGGGGCUCAACUCCUGAACUGCUUUGGAAACUGUCGAACUAGAGUGCAGGAGAGGUAAGUGGAAUUCCUAGCGUAGCGGUGAAAUGCGUAGAUAUUAGGAGGAACACCAGUGGCGAAGGCGGCUUACUGGACUGUAACUGACGUUGAGGCUCGAAAGCGUGGGGAGCAAACAGGAUUAGAUACCCUGGUA
rnacentral:rRNA from 1 species